GGGAGGAAAGCACGGGAUCGCAAGACCUUGCGCUAAAGGAGCGGCCGAUGUCUGAUUAGUUAGUUGGUGGGGUAAAGGCCUACCAAGGCAACGAUCAGUAGCUGGUCUGAGAGGACGAUCAGCCACACUGGGACUGAGACACGGCCCAGACUCCUACGGGAGGCAGCAGUGGGGAAUUUUGGACAAUGGGCGAAAGCCUGAUCCAGCCAUGCCGCGUGAAUGAAGAAGGCCUUCGGGUUGUAAAGUUCUUUUAGUUGGAAAGAAAAAAUUAUGAUGAAUAAUCAUAAUUCAUGACGGUACCGACAGAAAAAGCACCGGCUAACUACGUGCCAGCAGCCGCGGUAAUACGUAGGGUGCAAGCGUUAAUCGGAAUUACUGGGCGUAAAGGGUGUGCAGGCGGCCUUGUAAGUCAGAUGUGAAAGCCCCGGGCUUAACCUGGGAAUUGCGUUUGAAACUACAAAGCUAGAA
rnacentral:rRNA from 1 species